GAGACACAAUCCGCAGCCCCUGGGUCUGUGCAGUGACCAGCCAGUCCCCUGAGAACUUUCCCCUCCAGCACCAGGGAAAAUGGGAUUUUUGCUCCUUUUAAUUUUCGCUGUAGCAGCUUUGGAAGGUGUCCGGUCCCAGUCACUGGUGGAGUCCG